rnacentral:rRNA from 1 species
UCAGGUAGUAGUGGGUGUAGCGUACNUACUAGCCUACGACGGGUACGGGUUGUGAGAGCAAGAGCCCGGAGAUGGAUUCUGAGAUACGAAUCCAGGCCCUACGGGGUGCAGCAGGCGCGAAAACUUUACAAUGCUGGAAACAGCGAUAAGGGGACCUCGAGUGCCAGGUUACAAAUCUGGCUGUCGUGAUGCCUAAAAAGCAUUGCAUAGCAAGGGCCGGGCAAGACCGGUGCCAGCCGCCGCGGUAACACCGGCGGCUCGAGUGGUAACCGUUAUUAUUGGGUCUAAAGGGUCUGUAGCCGGCCGGAUAAGUCUCUUGGGAAAUCUGGCAGCUUAACUGUCAGGCUUUCAGGAGAUACUGUCUGGCUCGAGGCCGGGAGAGGUGAGAGGUACUUCAGGGGUAGGGGUGAAAUCUUGUAAUCCUUGAAGGACCACCAGUGGCGAAGGCGUCUCACCAGAACGGACCUGACGGCAAGGGACGAAAGCUAGGGGCACGAACCGGAUUAGAUACCCGGGUAGUCCUAGCCGUAAACGAUACUCGCUAGGUGUCGGCAACGGUGCGACCGUUGUCGGUGCCGUAGGGAAGCCGUGAAGCGAGCCACCUGGGAAGUACGGCCGCAAGGCUGAAACUUAAAGGAAUUGGCGGGGGAGCAC